rnacentral:rRNA from 1 species
UACGUAGGCAGCAAGCGUUGUUCGGAGUUACUGGGCGUAAAGGGUGCGUAGGCGGCUUCUUAAGUCUGGUGUGAAAUCUCCUGGCUCAACUGGGAGGGUGCGCCGGAUACUGAGGGGCUAGAGUGUGGGAGAGGAAAGUGGAAUUCCAGGUGUAGCGGUGAAAUGCGUAGAUAUCUGGAGGAACACCGGUGGUGUAAACGGCUUUCUGGACCAUUACUGACGCUGAUGCACGAAAGCGUGGGUAGCAAACAGG